rnacentral:piRNA from 1 species
UACCAUGUGUGUCCUUUUGUGAUUGGGUUA